rnacentral:lncRNA from 1 species
UCAUUUUUUUUUUUUUUUAAAGUUUCUUUUACGUUGGUAUGUUAAGUAUCAUUUUCGCAUGUUGAGUAUCAUUAGGAAUCCAUUCUAACUCGACAAUUUGUUUCAUUACCAAAGCCACGAAAGUGACGACAUGACUAAAAUUUUUCUCUCUCUGUGAUUUUUUUUUGGUGCUUGUCAAAUGGAGACAAACAAAGCUGGUGUGGGGACUGCAAAAUAGGAGUAUUAGGGUACGCUGGCGUGGGGCAGCACUGAGCUGCGCCAUAAAUCAAAACUGUAGGAAGCAAACAAGAGUGAGCUGGCUGGUUGGUUUGAGUCAACGUCGGUAGCAAAACGUCAAACCACAAAUACAUUAAAAAUUUCGAACAGCAGUACAUUCCCACCGCAAUAUCGCGGGUCCACAUAUCUCAUCUCCUGCUACUCUGCCGAUUUUCCUUGAUUUUGUGCUUGAUUGGCGGAGUACUUUU